rnacentral:rRNA from 1 species
ACUAGUGAUUAGAGUUUGAUCCUGGCUCAGGAUGAACGCUAGCGGCAGGCUUAACACAUGCAAGUCGAACGGUAACAUUGGUGCUUGCACCAGAUGACGAGUGGCGCACGGGUGCGUAACGCGUAUGCAAUCUACCUUUUACUGGAGUAUAGCCCAGAGAAAUUUGGAAUAAUCCUCCAUAAUAUCAUUUAAUCGCAUGAUUUUUUGAUUAAAGCUUCGGUGGUAAAAGAUGAGCAUGCGUUCUAUUAGCUAGUAGGUAAGGUAAUGGCUUACCUAGGCAACGAUAGAUAGGGGUCCUGAGAGGGAGAUCCCCCACACUGGUACUGAGACACGGACCAGACUCCUACGGGAGGCAGCAGUGAGGAAUAUUGGACAAUGGACGAAAGUCUGAUCCAGCCAUGCCGCGUGCAGGAUGAAUGCCUUAUGGGUUGUAAACUGCUUUUAUAUAGGAAGAAAACCCUCCACGUGUGGAGGCUUGACGGUACUAUAAGAAUAAGGAUCGGCUAACUCCGUGCCAGCAGCCGCGGUAAUACGGAGGAUCCAAGCGUUAUCCGGAAUUAUUGGGUUUAAAGGGUCCGCAGGCGGCCUAUUAAGUCAGAGGUGAAAUCCAACAGCUCAACUGUUGAACUGCCUUUGAUACUGAUAGACUUGAGUUAUUGUGAAGUGGUUAGAAUGUGUGGUGUAGCGGUGAAAUGCUUAGAUAUCACACAGAAUACCCAUUGCGAAGGCAGAUCACUAACAAUAUACUGACGCUCAUGGACGAAAGCGUGGGGAGCGAACGGGAUUAGAUACCCCGGUAGUCCACGCCGUAAACGAUGGAUACUAACUGUUCGGUUUUAGGACUGAGUGGUCAAGCGAAAGUGAUAAGUAUCCCACCUGGGGAGUACGCUCGCAAGAGUGAAACUCAAAGGAAUUGACGGGGGCCCGCACAAGCGGUGGAGCAUGUGGUUUAAUUCGAUGAUACGCGAGGAACCUUACCAGGGCUUAAAUGUAGUGGGACAGAUUUAGAGAUAAAUCUUUCUUCGGACUCAUUACAAGGUGCUGCAUGGUUGUCGUCAGCUCGUGCCGUGAGGUGUCAGGUUAAGUCCUAUAACGAGCGCAACCCCUAUUGUUAGUUGCCAGCGGGUAAUGCCGGGAACUCUAGCGAAACUGCCGGUGCAAACCGAGAGGAAGGUGGGGAUGACGUCAAAUCAUCACGGCCCUUACGUCCUGGGCUACACACGUGCUACAAUGGUCGGUACAGAGAGCAGCCACUACGCGAGUAGGAGCGAAUCUAUAAAACCGAUCUCAGUUCGGAUCGCAGUCUGCAACUCGACUGCGUGAAGCUGGAAUCGCUAGUAAUCGGAUAUCAGCCAUGAUCCGGUGAAUACGUUCCCGGGCCUUGUACACACCGCCCGUCAAGCCAUGGAAGCUGGGGGUACCUGAAGUCGGUGACCGAAAGGAGCUGCCUAGGGUAAAACUAGUGACUGGGGCUAAGUCGUAACAAGGUAAAU